rnacentral:rRNA from 1 species
UACGAAGGGAGCUAGCGUUGCUCGGAAUCACUGGGCGUAAAGCGCACGUAGGCGGUUUAUCAAGUCAGGUGUGAAAGCCCGGGGCUUAACCCCGGAAUUGCACUUGAAACUGAUAGGCUAGAGAUUGGUAGGGGACAGUGGAAUUCUUGGUGUAGAGGUGAAAUUCGUAGAUAUCAAGAGGAACACCGGUGGCGAAGGCGACUGUCUGGGCCAAUUCUGACGCUGAGGUGCGAAAGCGUGGGGAGCAAACAGG